rnacentral:rRNA from 1 species
GCUUAUGGCCAUACCACCCUGUCUAUGCCGGAUCUCCUCUGAUCUCGGAAGCUAAGUAGGGUCGGGCCUGGUUAGUACUUGGAUGGGAGACCGCCUGGGAAUACCAGGUGCUGUAAGCU